UCCAAGAAACGAGUUCUUCGAUGCAGUUUUCGUUGAAGUGUAGUUGCAAUUACUGUUCUGCUAUGUGACCGUGCUCUGCCGUGUUGCUAUAUUACUGCACGAUUGCUGGCGGUUCUGUUAGUAUCUGCGGUGUGUCCUGGCUACUGUGUGGGUUAUUUGUGACUGCCGUUUUCCUGCAGGAUUGUGAUCGGCGUUGCCCUGUUGACGUUGGUGGCCCUUUUUGCCCUGAUGGAGGUCACUGGAGCCCUGCCAGCACCCGAACCAAACCGACGCUUCUUCUUCGGAGGUAGUCCCUAUGGCUUCGGCGAUUGCAGCUAUAGACCCUUCGGAUACGGCUACGGCGGAUAUGGCGGUAGUUUUGGAGGCCUUGGUGGUGAAUUUGGUGGAUAUAGUGUGGUGGUUUCUUCGGUUGAUGAUCACCUCAUCAUCCAGAAAGAUACCGGGAGUUAUGGCAUCAGUGAUUAAAUGAACUAUUUUCUGCCAAAAAUCCAGUGAUUGACCUUUUCAGUCAUUUCGAUACAAAUAUUUAGUAUAUUUUUCUAUAAGUUACAAUAAAAUUAUCUACCUCUUAAAAUAA